ensembl:lncRNA
CGCCAUCUUGUCAAAGUGAUUGUGUGUGAGUUCAACGAGCUGUGGAUGAGAAGGUGGGAACUUUCUUUUAGGCGUAUAGACGUUAUUUUUUCCGCCAUUUACCUCUUUUCGCGCUUUCUUUUCCUCGAUAGACUGUUUGUGACGGGCGAAAAUUGUUGUUUGUCUAAACGACGGGACAUUUCUCAUCUGUUAGCUAGCUAAGGCUAGUUUUCUCACGCGCCUGAAGCGGACAAAACCGCGCUUGAAUCCCGGACCAGCGAGAUCGACUGAGAUUAUUCUCCUCUUUUCCUUUUUCUUUUUCACUCGAUGUUGUUUAUGAGGAGUGUAAGUUAAUUUUACUCAUACAGCAGGGGAGGAGAGACGAUGGUGGCGCUAAUAUGACUAAUGAACCGGAAGUCUCGCACAUUCACAGAAACAGCUUACUUCCGCAUUGGAAAAAUAAGGUGGAUAGACCUUAGCCCUGGCUCCUUGCUGCGCUACUUGUCUUGAGUUCCGUUUGUAUUUCCACAACGUCCUUCACGUUGACGAAUUUUUGAAUGAAACUGUAGUUUUAAAGUCUACUGACAUUUGUUAUGAACAUUAUAAUGCACAUGAUAUCUUUCAUUAACUCUUCAAUAAAUACAUCUACUUCACCAGCUAAUUAGGAUACUCUUCAACAGGAAGUUCAAACACAAAAUUCUAAAGAUGGCUGCGCACUUGUUUCUCUGAAGCAUAAGGUCUAUAAUGUUGGACUAGUAUGAUUCAAACAACUGUGAUGCCACAAUACGGUUUCGAAAACCAGUUGUGAACGACUAGAUGGUUAGUUUCUCCAACGAUGCAUAUUGGUAAUUAAAGAGUGAGUUACAUCGUUGUACGGGAAACAUAUAAGCUACCCGUGUCUAGGAAAGGUGUCAUCACAAUCAAAUGUUAGUAACCUAAAUAUUUAGGUGGCCUGUUAGUAACCUAAACAUAGAUGUAUGUGUACACACACAAAACAGCAUGUUGGAGUCUAUUCAGAUUCAACAGUAAUCCUCCAUCUGGGUAAUGCAGGUUUAGGUGUUGAAAAGAAAUAUGGGCGUACUCUUUAAGGUAAUAACAGUAUUAGUGACAUUCAACAAGUGCAACCAAAAAGAUUCAAAACAUCAUUAACCCACAGAUGAGUGUUUAAUAGACAUUUUGUCACAGGUGUGGUCUUUUUUUGUGGUUGGAUUCAAGACAAUGUCAAUAAAAGGAUUUAGAACUGAGAUUUAGAGCUGCGGUUUUGCAUAUUAUGUCAUCUCAAUCCAGAAAUGUAUUAAAAAGGGUCAUAAAUAUCUGAACUUUUUCCCUGAGAAUGUUACCCAUGACAGUUCUAAUGCAAUGGCAACUGUCUGCCAGUUACCGUCUUAAAUGUAAUAGUUUCUUAUGGGCAUUGAUGGUUGCAUUAAGAACUACGUAACCUUUCCAUUACACAAAAGGUUCGUUAUAGGUUCUUUAGAUCAGUGUUUCUUAACUGGUGGGUCACAAGACCAUUCUGAGACCAACAUCAAUAAAAAAUGAAAUUCUAAAUGUUUUUCUGAUGCAAGACUUUUAUUUUGAAAGACAUCCUUGAAAGCUGUUGACACCUUUGUCAGAUGCCGAAGGAUUUGCGUGAAGGUAUAAUUCUCAUUCUAUUCAGGAGCAGUUUCCAUGUUUCAUUAACAGUUCAUGUUAUUAUUAUUCACCAUGAUAAAUGUUGUUUCCAUAACCCAAAAUGCCAUGUUAUUUCACUUUGUGUUAUUUUUGUACAUGUUUAAAUGACUGUGGUGGCUCAUACCAACCUAAUUGUAUUAACAAACUGGGACUAGCCUUAAUUUAUAGGCUGUUUAUUAAUCAGUAUUUGUGAUAUUCUUACAAUUUAUGUUUUAAGAAACAGGGGACGGUGCUUGUGUGUGUGCAUCAACAAUUUUUUGUAAAAAUAAAUUUGCUUUGU